rnacentral:tRNA from 1 species
GGAAGCGUGGCAGAGUGGUUUAAUGCAGCGGAUUCGAAAUCCGCCGGGCGCCCAUCAGGCGUCCCCUGGGUUCAAAUCCCAGCGCUUCCGCCA